rnacentral:rRNA from 1 species
AAGGCCUUCGGGUUGUAAAGCACUUUUGUCCGGAAAGAAAUCUUCUGCCCUAAUACGGCGGGAGGAUGACGGUACCGGAAGAAUAAGCACCGGCUAACUACGUGC